GACGAGCCGUGCGAACGUUGUUCGGAAUCACUGGGCUUAAAGGGCGCGUAGGCGGACCGGCGAGUCAGGGGUGAAAGCCCGCGGCCCAACCGCGGAAGUGCCCCUGAUACCGCCGGCCUUGAGGGGGAUAGGGGCGUGCGGAACUUCGGGUGGAGCGGUGAAAUGCGUAGAUAUCCGAAGGAACACCGGUGGCGAAGGCGGCACGCUGGGUCCCUACUGACGCUGAGGCGCGAAAGCCAGGGGAGCGAACGGG
rnacentral:rRNA from 1 species